UUUAUCUCAGCAGUCAGCUCCGGCCUACAUAUCCUCUACGUAAGGGACCGAUGCAAAUAAGUGAAUGAUCCAGAAAAAAAAAUAAUAAAUAAAAGAAAGCAAAAAGGCAACUCCGGUAUAGGUGACCCUCACAAAGUCAUUUAAACUAAAGAAUUGUAAAAAAAUGCUACAAAAAGAAAAAGAAAAAGAAAAAGAAAAACUUAACCACUGUUAGUUGGUUCAGAGGUAUCUGGCAC
rnacentral:lncRNA from 1 species